UACGUAGGGUGCGAGCGUUGUCCGGAUUUAUUGGGCGUAAAGGGCUCGUAGGCGGCGUGUCGCGUCGGGGAGUGAAAGCCCGCUGCUUAACGGCGGGUUGGCUUCCGGUACGGGCAUCGCUGGAGUGCGGCAGGGGAGACUGGAAUUCCUGGUGUAGCGGUGGAAUGCGCAGAUAUCAGGAGGAACACCGGUGGCGAAGGCGGGUCUCUGGGCCGUUACUGACGCUGAGGCGCGAAAGCUAGGGGAGCAAACAGG
rnacentral:rRNA from 1 species